rnacentral:rRNA from 1 species
AACGAACGCUGGCGGCAGGCCUAACACAUGCAAGUCGAACGCCGUAGCAAUACGGAGUGGCAGACGGGUGAGUAACACGUGGGAACGUACCCUUCGGUUCGGGAUAACUCAGGGAAACUUGAGCUAAUACCGGACACGUCCGAGAGGAGAAAGAUUUAUUGCCGAGGGAUCGGCCCGCGUCUGAUUAGCUUGUUGGUGAGGUAACGGCUCACCAAGGCGACGAUCAGUAGCUGGCUGAGAGGAUGAUCAGCCACAUUGGGACUGAGACACGGGCCCAAACUCCUACGGGAGGCAGCAGUGGGAAUAUUGGACAAUGGGGCGCAAGCCUGAUCCAGCCAUGCCG